GCUAAUCCCUGGGCGGCGGCGGCGGGAAGAUGGGAGGUGCAUGCGUGAAUCGGAAGUACGGGGCCGAAAGCGUGGGCAGGCGGUUUGUUAAGUCUGCUGUGAAAGCCCCGAGGUCAACUUGGGAAUUGCAGUGGAUACUGGCAAGCUGGAGUACGGUAGAGGAAGGUGGAAUUCCCGGUGUAGCAGUGAAAUGCGUAGAGAUCGGGAGGAACACCAGUGGCGAAGGCGGCCUUCUGGACCAGUACUGACGCUCAUGCACGAAAGCGUGGGGAGCAAACAGGAUUAGAUACCCCGGUAGUC
rnacentral:rRNA from 1 species